rnacentral:rRNA from 1 species
AGCAAUACUGAGUGGCAGACGGGUGAGUAUAAUGUGGGAAUCUGCCUUUUGGUUUGGAAUAACACGGGGAAACUUGUGCUAAUACCGAAUAAGCCCUUACGGGGAAAGUUUUAACGCCGAAAGAUGAGCCUGCACUUGAUUAGCUAGUUGGUAAGGUAAAAGCUUACCAAGGCGACGAUCAAUAGCUGUUCUUAGAGGAAGACCAGCCACAUUGGGACUGAGACACGGCCCAGACUCCUACGGGAGGCAGCAGUGGGGAAUCUUGCACAAUGGGGGAAACCCUGAUGCAGCGAUGCCGCGUGAGUGAAGAAGGCCCUUGGGUUGUAAAACUCUUUCGUCGGGGAAGAAAAUGACUGUACCCGAAUAAGAAGGUCCGGCUAACUUCGUGCCAGCAGCCGCGGUAAUACGAAGGGACCUAGCGUAGUUCGGAAUUACUGGGCUUAAAGAGCUCGUAGGUGGUUAAAAAAGUUGAUGGUGAAAUCCCAAGGCUCAACCUUGGAACUGCCAUCAAAACUUUUUAGCUAGAGUGUGAUAGAGGUAAGUGGAAUUUCUAGUGUAGAGGUGAAAUUCGUAGAUAUUAGAAAGAACACCAAAUGCGAAGGCAACUUACUGGGUCACUACUGACACUGAGGAGCGAAAGCAUGGGUAGC